UACCCGCAGCUCAAGUGGUGGUCAUUAUUAUUGGGCCUAAAGCGUCCGUAGCAGGCUUGUUAGAUGCCUGGGUAAAUCGAUGCGCUUAACGCAUCGAAUUCCGGGUAGACCGGCAAGCUCGAGACCGGGAGAGGCGUGAGCUACUCAAGGGGUAGGGGUAAAAUCCUGUAAUCCUUUGGGGAGGACCAGUGGCGAAGGCGUCACGCUAGAACGGCUCUGACUGUGAGGGACGAAGCCCUGGGGCGCAACCAGGACUUGAGAACC
rnacentral:rRNA from 1 species